GAUGAACGCUGGCGGCGUGCCUAAUACAUGCAAGUCGAGCGAACAGACGAGGAGCUUGCUCCUCUGACGUUAGCGGCGGACGGGUGAGUAACACGUGGAUAACCUACCUAUAAGACUGGGAUAACUUCGGGAAACCGGAGCUAAUACCGGAUAAUAUAUUGAACCGCAUGGUUCAAUAGUGAAAGACGGUUUUGCUGUGCCUUAUAGGUGGAUCCGCGCCGCAUUAGCUAGUUGGUAAGGUAACGGCUUACCAAGGCAACGAUGCGUAGCCGACCUGAGAGGGCGAUCGGCCACACUGGAACUGAGACACGGCCCAGACUCCUACGGGAGGCAGCAGUAGGGAAUCUUCCGCAAUGGGCGCAAGCCUGACGGAGCAACGCCGCGUGAGUGAUGAAGGUCUUCGGAUCGUAAAACUCUGUUAUUAGGGAAGAACAAAUGUGUAAGUAACUAUGCACGUCUUGACGGUACCUAAUCAGAAAGCCACGGCUAACUACGUG
rnacentral:rRNA from 1 species